UACGGAGGAUGCAAGCGUUAUCCGGAAUGAUUGGGCGUAAAGCGUCCGCAGGUGGCUAUGUAAGUCUGCUGUUAAAGAGUGAGGCUCAACCUCAUAAGAGCAGUGGAAACUACAUGGCUAGAGUGCGUUCGGGGCAGAGGGAAUUCCUGGUGUAGCGGUGAAAUGCGUAGAGAUCAGGAAGAACACCGGUGGCGAAAGCGCUCUGCUAGGCCGCGACUGACACUCAUGGACGAAAGCUAGGGGAGCGAAUGGG
rnacentral:rRNA from 1 species